rnacentral:lncRNA from 1 species
UCAUACCAACUUUUAAACUACCAUUCUUUCAUAUUCCUUAACUCUUAUUCCUUAACUAUGACAAAUAAAUUUAUCAUUCAAUCCUUUGAACCUUCAUCUUUUCCCAUUCCUAACCAUUGUGUGUAUAAAUAUAUGAUUUUGUGCACAAAUGCUAAAUGUUUUUAGUGCAAAUUUGAGUUUUCAUCAUCACUUUUCUCCAACCAACUUUUGGAUAGAUGCUCUCCAAUAGGUUCUUCAUCUUUUUCACAAUUUAUUAGUUUCUAUAUAUAUAACAACUUAUUAAUUAUGUUACUCUUACAUUGUGUGAAAAUUUUAGAAAUCC